ACUCGCAAUCCCUGCGGAGCUUCCCUCCCCAAUCCGAUCUGACGGAGAGAGUGCCAGAUCCGGUCGGGGGAGGCGCCGUAGAGCCUCCACGUCGGUGGAGCAGCACCUCCUGCCACGGGCGCCGCCGCCACCUCCUGCCUCACGACCCUUUGCCGCGACUCCGCCCCCAAGCGCCGCUCCCGCACGCAACUCGAACCCUAUCCCGCCAUGCCUCGCUGCCUCGCCGCUUGAGCCGCGCUGAUGAGCCCGAGCAGCGGUGGCCGACCCCGUCGCCGCCGCCGAGCCUGUGGACGAGGAGAAGGAGAAGGAGGAGGAGACGGAGGCGGCCGAGGACGAGGAGGACACGCUGCUGGACCGCGCGCAGCCUGAUCUCACGGGUCUCUUUGCACAUGUGCAGUUCGUCAAUGGACCAAUGCCUAAUCUCCCCAAGGUUGAUGUUUCACUGGACCCGGUGAAGGAGCUGAGCAGAGUAAUAUCUGAGGGAAAAAAUUGAGGGGCGUGCUUUGGUUGUGCUCUCAGCCAGGUUAUUUUACGAGGGUUGUGUGCACUGAACCCCAUUUCUCUGGACCAAGGGACGAUGAACAAGAUGGGAAUGAGGAGGAUGCUACUAAUCCAGAGUAGUAAUAUUGGAUUACAGGUCAUGGGUUAACUAAUACAUGCAUCAGCUUUGUAUCAUAAAGAUUUCACCAUCCCAAGGUAAUGGAAAUAAGUUCACAAGAUUCUCAUGUUGAGGUCUGUACAAAGAGAUACAAGGCAAUGUCUGUGUGCUGGAAGGAGAAACUCACUGCCAAAGCUAUAAUCCCUGAUGCUAAAGCCUGCAUGUUCAGAUCUGCAGAGUUUACUCAUAUUACUGUAUGAAUGAUUAAUACAGAGGGAGCCCUUUUGUCAGGUCAUUUAAUCAUUAAAUCAUACGUACAUUAUCUCAGUUCCCAGUUUUGGCUCACUUUCUUGAUGCAUCUCGGAUGAGAGGAAAGGAAUGGAUAAUCUGACAAGCAAUGUUCGGGCAUACCCUUAUAUUUACGUCUGAUGAAAUGCUGCGGGUGCAAACUAAUCAAGACUGCUGCCAUGAGCAAAAGAGCAGACAUUACUUAUGAGAAAACAAUAAAAGAAUCUUCCGUGACUACAUACCACAACGAGUCAAAGACGAUGAAAGCACUACUCCAUUGGUGGUGUUAGCAAGUGGAGUCUGGAGGGAGAACAACACAAAGUAGGAAAUUGAUUCCCUCACCCUUGCUUGCUUCAACGACCCCGCCCGUCUUGGUGGGGUCGAUUCCCCCAUCGCCCGACUCAUCUCCGACGAGUAUGGCGUCAGUGGGUACGCCCCGCCGUUCGUAUGCUUGGCGGGUCCCAGAACACCCGUGACGUGUAUGAGCUUGACUAGGGCGAGGGGCUCGUGCUCGUGCUCGAGCUCGACAAGACGCACUUCGAUCUCGUCACCAACUACGAGCUGGACUGUGAGACUCCAGAGCAGGCGGGGGCGACGAAGACGAAAGUGGGGGCAGUUCGAGCUUGUCGCUGCCGGAGACCCUGGAGAGGUGCGCGAAGAGACCUGGUUAGAUUUGUUGGCCACCACUGGUAAACUGGACUAAUAACAAAUCGGAUGUCAUCUCUCAUGUUGCCGAUUCAACCCUGGACGAUGUACUGUUGGACAACGACGCGAGGCCGAGGCAGCCAAUGUGAAUGACCACUGGAAAUCAUUUACCUUUCAAUCUUGGAAGGCCCUAAGCUAAAGGAGAGCAUCAAUUGUCAUGAGAGAUAAGCAAUAUCUAUUAGACACGCAUACUAUCAGGCUAACGCAAACCACUCGGGAAUGAAGUAUACUUACCGUAACUUUCUAUGUGUUGACUUGAGUUUUCCUGUUAGUAAAAGAAACAUGCCAUUUUUUUGCGGUUCAUGGAUUCAUGCUCAAUGUUGAAUUAUUAUCUGAUCUGCAAAAGCAUGCCUUACUGCUGCUCAUGGUCACAUGAUUUAUAAUUUAUAACUACAAUUAUUUAAA